UACGAAGGGGGCUAGCGUUGCUCGGAAUCACUGGGCGUAAAGGGUGCGUAGGCGGGUCUUUAAGUCAGGGGUGAAAUCCUGGAGCUCAACUCCAGAACUGCCUUUGAUACUGAGGAUCUUGAGUUCGGGAGAGGUGAGUGGAACUGCGAGUGUAGAGGUGAAAUUCGUAGAUAUUCGCAAGAACACCAGUGGCGAAGGCGGCUGUCUGGUCCGGUUCUGACGCUGAGGCGCGAAAGCGUGGGGAGCAAACAGG
rnacentral:rRNA from 1 species